rnacentral:rRNA from 1 species
ACGGUCCUAAGGUAGCGAAAUUCCUUGUCGGGUAAGUUCCGACCUGCACGAAUGGCAUAAUGAUGGCCAGGCUGUCUCCACCCGAGACUCAGUGAAAUUGAAAUCGCCGUGAAGAUGCGGUGUACCCGCGGCUAGACGGAAAGACCCCGUGAACCUUUACUAUAGCUUGACACUGAACAUUGAAUUUUGAUGUGUAGGAUAGGUGGGAGACUUUGAAGUAGUCACGCCAGUGAUUAUGGAGUCGUCCUUGAAAUACCACCCUUUAACGUUUGAUGUUCUAACGAAGAUUGCGAAACGCGGUCUCGGACAGUGUCUGGUGGGUAGUUUGACUGGGGCGGUCUCCUCCCAAAGAGUAACGGAGGAGCACGAAGGUUUGCUAAUCACGGUCGGACAUCGUGAGGUUAGUGCAAUGGUAUAAGCAAGCUUAACUGCGAGACAGACAAGUCGAGCAGGUACGAAAGUAGGUCAUAGUGAUCCGGUGGUUCUGCAUGGAAGGGCCAUCGCUCAACGGAUAAAAGGUACUCCGGGGAUAACAGGCUGAUACCGCCCAAGAGUUCAUAUCGACGGCGGUGUUUGGCACCUCGAUGUCGGCUCAUCACAUCCUGGGGCUGAAGUAGGUCCCAAGGGUAUGGCUGUUCGCCAUUUAAAGUGGUACGCGAGCUGGGUUUAGAACGUCGUGAGACAGUUCGGUCCCUAUCUGCCGUGGGCGUUGGAGAAUUGAUUGGGGCUGCUCCUAGUACGAGAGGACCGGAGUGGACGCAUCACUGGUGUUCCGGUUGUGUCGCCAGACGCAUUGCCGGGUAGCUACAUGCGGAAGAGAUAAGUGCUGAAAGCAUCUAAGCACGAAACUUGCCAAGAGAUGAGUUCUCCCACACAUCAAGUGUGUAAGGGUUGUUUAAGACUAAGACGUAGAUAGGUGCGGUGUGUAAGUGUAGUGAUACAUUGAGCUAACGCAUACUAAUUGCCCGAGAGGCUUAGCCAU